rnacentral:rRNA from 1 species
AGACCCGAAACCCGGUGAUCUAGCCAUGGGCAGGUUGAAGGUUGGGUAACACUAACUGGAGGACCGAACCGACUAAUGUUGAAAAAUUAGCGGAUGACCUGUGGCUGGGGGUGAAAGGCCAAUCAAACCGGGAGAUAGCUGGUUCUCCCCGAAAGCUAUUUAGGUAGCGCCUCGUGAAUUCAUCUCCGGGGGUAGAGCACUGUUUCGGCUAGGGGGCCAUCCCGGCUUACCAACCCGAUGCAAACUGCGAAUACCGGAGAAUGUUAUCACGGGAGACACACGGCGGGUGCUAACGUCCGUCGUGAAGAGGGAAACAACCCAGACCGCCAGCUAAGGUCCCAAAGUCAUGGUUAAGUGGGAAACGAUGUGGGAAGGCCCAGACAGCCAGGAUGUUGGCUUAGAAGCAGCCAUCAUUUAAAGAAAGCGUAAUAGCUCACUGGUCGAGUCGGCCUGCGCGGAAGAUGUAACGGGGCUAAACCAUGCACCGAAGCUGCGGCAGCGACGCUGAUGCGUUGUUGGGUAGGGGAGCGUUCUGUAAGCCUGCGAAGGUGACCUGUGAGGGUUGCUGGAGGUAUCAGAAGUGCGAAUGCUGA